GAUAUGACAUCCAUACCAUUCACGUUUUUCCAUAAUAUUAAACUGGUAACAAAGUGAAGUGAAUGCUAACUAACAUGGCUAGUUACUGUACGUCUAAAAUCACUUCAAUUAGGGUGGCUGUUGGAUCCAUGAACCUACGGCAAACACAUUUAAAAAAAGGUUAGUAAGCAUUUUAUACCAGGCGUUCUAACGCUCAUCUCAAGCUUGAAAAAAAAAAAAACACUGACCGUUUUUCCUGGUUUGUGACGUCACUCAUCAACGAUGGCGUGACCUUUCACGCCAAUGAGGCAAAAAAGUUUAAAAGUUCUCCACCAAGAAGGAGUCAAAGCUGCAUCAGUGGAGACAGCUGGUAGAAAGAAGAGAAAGAAAACGAAAAGACACAGGCCAAGCUGAAAAUCUACUUGUGGAUGAUGGUCGCAACAGUCGAGCGAUUGGGAUCAAAAGAGCGGUCAAUAUUGGUGGGCGUGUGUCCUCUCACUGAGGAUUUUAUGCUGUUCACUUCCAGGGAGAUGGCUUUGCUUUUUGUUUGGCCCACUGCCACUUGGGAGACAUAGUCAUCAUCAUACCACGAUCACCAACAGAUACCCUGAAACAUCAGUUGUCAGUGAAAUCUAUAUUUAACAGGUAUUCAAUGAAAUUCACACCUCUAAUCAAAUUUUUGCCAUACAAUUAAGUAUCCCAAUUGAGCAUUUGCCUUUGUGUGUGUGUGUGUGUGUGUGUGUGUGUGUGUGUGUGAGAGACCAGCUGCCUGAAUAGAGGGCGGGUGUUCCCCUUUUUAUUCACAUGGAUGAUGCAUUAAAUGUCAUUUAGAGGGGCAGAUUAUCAAAGCAUGAAGGGGUGGAGCUUGUCUCAAGUGUGUG